AUUGAACGCUGGCGGAAUGCUUUACACAUGCAAGUCGAACGGCAGCACGGACUUCGGUCUGGUGGCGAGUGGCGAACGGGUGAGUAAUACAUCGGAACGUGCCCAGUCGUGGGGGAUAACGUAGCGAAAGCUACGCUAAUACCGCAUACGAUCUAAGGAUGAAAGCGGGGGAUCGCAAGACCUCGCGCGAUUGGAGCGGCCGAUGGCAGAUUAGGUAGUUGGUAGGGUAAAGGCCUACCAAGCCGACGAUCUGUAGCUGGUCUGAGAGGACGACCAGCCAGACUGGGACUGAGACACGGCCCAGACUCCUACGGGAGGCAGCAGUGGGGAAUUUUGGACAAUGGACGCAAGUCUGAUCCAGCCAUUCCGCGUGCAGGAUGAAGGCCCUCGGGUUGUAAACUGCUUUUGUACAGAACGAAAAAGCUCUGGUUAAUACCUGGAGCUCAUGACGGUACUGUAAGAAUAAGCACCGGCUAACUACGUGCCAGCCGCCGCGGUAA
rnacentral:rRNA from 1 species